rnacentral:rRNA from 1 species
UGGGGAAUAUUGGACAAUGGGCGAAAGCCUGAUCCAGCCAUGCCGCGUGGGUGAAGAAGGCCUUAGGGUUGUAAACCCCUUUCAGCGGGGAAGAUAAUGACGGUACCCGCAGAAGAAGUCCCGGCUAACUCCGUGCCAGCAGCCGCGGUAAUACGGAGGGGACUAGCGUUGUUCGGAAUUACUGGGCGUAAAGCGCACGUAGGCGGAUUUGUAAGUCAGGGGUGAAAUCCUGGAGCUCAACUCCAGAACUGCCUUUGAUACUGAGGAUCUUGAGUUCGGGAGAGGUGAGUGGAACUGCGAGUGUAGAGGUGAAAUUCGUAGAUAUUCGCAAGAACACCAGUGGCGAAGGCGGCUCACUGGCCCGAUACUGACGCUGAGGCACGAAAGCGUGGGGAGCAAACAGGAUUAGAUACCCGUGUAGUCC